UACGUAGGGGGCAAGCGUUGUCCGGAUUCAUUGGGCGUAAAGAGCGUGUAGGCGGCCAGGUAGGUCGGUUGUGAAAACUGGAGGCUCAACCUUCAGAGGUCGACCGAAACCAUCUGGCUAGAGUCCGGGAGAGGAGAGUGGAAUUCCUGGUGUAGCGGUGAAAUGCGCAGAUAUCAGGAAGAACACCGGUGGCGAAGGCGGCCACCUGGACGGUCAUGACGCUGAGACGCGAAAGCGUGGGUAGCAAACAGG
rnacentral:rRNA from 1 species